AAUAUGAACAAAACAUGUGCAUCCAAAUACUCGCACAUAUAGGUGUUGCUCCAGUAAGAGGUUCACGAGGUGCCUCUGAAGCUUCUUCCCCGUCAAAGCAUUAGCUUGGUUGCUUCAAGUUAGGGUUAUGACUAAUGGAGCUCAAAUUUUAACGAGAUCCAGCACCGGCGGUGGCAGCCGUAUCAACGAUCAUGGCGGCGUCGGCGGCGGUAGGAUCCCAUGUUUACUGUACCUUUCUCCCAGAUCGAGCACCGGCGGUGGCAGCUACAUCAACGAUCACGGCGGCGGCGGCAGGAUCCCAUGUUUACUGUACCUUUCUCUCAGAUCGAGCACCGGCGGUGGCAGCUACAUCAACGAUCACGGCGGCGGUAAUCUGAUCUUGAAAGAAACCAGGCUGGAUGCAGUGGUGGGCUUUAAAUCUGAUCACUCAAGAAAAUGGAUUUUUGGUUUCUUUCAAAGAGAAAAAUGGAUGAAACAGUUCGGUAGAGUUAGCAACUGAGGUCAAGGGAAGACCUUUAAAUCUGAUCGCUCUCCCCCACCCUUGUCGUUGGUUUUGCUUCCUUCCCCAUUUUCAUUUUCAAGAGUUGACCUUUAAAUCUGAUCACUCAGAAGUUGAAAUUGUGAAAACAAUAAUAAAUCUAAGAGGAGAAGAAGAAACAGAUCUGUUGCGGGAUAUUAGGGAUGAUCAACUCUGCUCAGAACUUGACAUUGUAACAGCAUAAAAGCUUAUCAUUUUACUGGAAUCGUGUUUGAUUCCCGAGUCAGAUCUGCAAUGCCUGUUAGUGGCAGUGACAUUAGCGGCGGUGAUCACUCGAUCCUUUUCCAUUUCUGAUCUGGAGGAAUUUUUUUCUGUGAAGAUUGAAAAUCCAUGACUAAGCAUUUGGGUUUUUUUAUUUAGAGAACCCAAGUCAGCCGAGAGAGAGAGAGAGAGAGCUGGAACCGCCAGUGACUGGAGAAGAAGCUGAACCGCCAGUGGUAUCUACUGUUGCAGUGAGAGGUAAGGUAAAAUACGAUUGUUUAUUUGUUUUAGUUAAAAGGGUAAAAAUGUCAUUUCAAAUUCUUUCUUAACGGUGACUGACAGUAAGGGGUCUGAGUCUAAUUUGGUGAAAGAGAGGGGGUGUUCCUAUAAUAAUGGCAUUCUCCAGGGGGUGGCGCUGUAAAUUACCCUAAUAAUUAUUGGCAUUUGCAUGUUUUUUACAUGAUUUGCUGACCUUGUAGGCUUCAAGUAGUGCAACUUGGCCAGUGCUCAACCUGAACCGGGCCAACUUAUCGAUUAGGCAAGCUAGUUAUAGUUGUUUGGCCUGAGCAGGUCCAGGUGACUCUUCCGAAAGGCCGUCUUCUUGGUGCACUGGCCGGAUCUCUGGUCAAUUUACCUCCAACACUAUAUCCUCCUUGGCGGGUAGAAUAUUGAAAGCUAGUGUGCUUGGGUCUGGAUCUGCUUGUUGUGCAUGGGUGAUUACAUUUAGGUGUCAAUAACUCUCAUGGACUAUAAACUUGAUACCAUGAUGCAUGAGCCCGUCUUGAGCCUCUCUUCCCUACUCCAGAGCUGAGCAGCUUAAAAAUAAGCUCCCUUAGCUAAAUGAGCUCUAUCAGAUCAUCAUCUUAACCAGAUGUGAAUCAACAGGGCCAAGGUUGCAGGUAAGAGACCUUCCUACCACUCUCCAACGCAUUCUCUCCUCCCUGAUCUUAUGGGCCCUCUAUAUACGAUUUUUUAGGCAC